AAUAUUGGUCAAUGGGUGCAAGCCUGAACCAGCCAUCCCGCGUGAAGGACGACUGCCCUAUGGGUUGUAAACUUCUUUUGUAUAGGGAUAAACCUACCCUCGUGAGGGUAGCUGAAGGUACUAUACGAAUAAGCACCGGCUAACUCCGUGCCAGCAGCCGCGGUAAUACGGAGGGUGCAAGCGUUAUCCGGAUUUAUUGGGUUUAAAGGGUCCGUAGGCGGACUUAUAAGUCAGUGGUGAAAGCCUGUCGCUUAACGAUAGAACUGCCAUUGAUACUGUAAGUCUUGAGUAUAUUUGAGGUAGCUGGAAUAAGUAGUGUAGCGGUGAAAUGCAUAGAUAUUACUUAGAACACCAAUUGCGAAGGCAGGUUACCAAGAUAUAACUGACGCUGAGGGACGAAAGCGUGGGGAGCGA
rnacentral:rRNA from 1 species